AUUGAGCGCUGGCGGCAGGCCUAACACAUGCAAGUCGAGCGGAUGAAGGGAGCUUGCUCCUGGAUUCAGCGGCGGACGGGUGAGUAAUGCCUAGGAAUCUGCCUGGUAGUGGGGGAUAACGUCCGGAAACGGGCGCUAAUACCGCAUACGUCCUGAGGGAGAAAGUGGGGGAUCUUCGGACCUCACGCUAUCAGAUGAGCCUAGGUCGGAUUAGCUAGUUGGUGGGGUAAAGGCCUACCAAGGCGACGAUCCGUAACUGGUCUGAGAGGAUGAUCAGUCACACUGGAACUGAGACACGGUCCAACCCCCAACGGGAGCAAGCGGUGGGGAAUAUUGGACAAUGGGCGAAAGCCUGAUCCAGCCAUGCCGCGGGGGGGAAGAAGGUCUUCGGUUGGAAAAGCACUUUAAGUUGGGGGAAGGGCAGUAAGUUAAUACCUUGCUGUUUUGACGUUACCAACAGAAUAAGCACCGGCUAACUUCGUG
rnacentral:rRNA from 1 species